rnacentral:rRNA from 1 species
GACGUAGGAGGCGAGCGUUAUCCGGAUUCACUGGGCGUAAAGCGCAUGUAGGCGGAUGUCUAAGUCGUGUGUUAAAGCCCCUGGCUCAACUGGGGGGAGGUCAUGCGAGACUGGAUGACUUGAGGGCAACAGAGGCACGUGGAACUCCCGGUGUAGCGGUGGAAUGCGUAGAGAUCGGGAAGAACACCCGUGGCGAAGGCGGCGUGCUGGGUUGCAACUGACGCUGAGAUGCGAAAGUGUGGGGAGCAAACGGG